rnacentral:lncRNA from 1 species
UUUAUUUUUAUUUUCUAGCUGGUCAAUAAAGCUUAUGAACAUGAUCUAAGAAUUUAUGAAGCGAAGGAGAAGCAUAAACUUUCUAAAGCCAAAGAAGUUGCAAAGGAAAGGGAACAAGAGUUCAAAGAAAACGUCUUUAAAGAAUCUCCAAAAAUGUCUCAGCUAGUGAAAGUUUGUUCUAGAAAAACCGCACCUCAGUAUCCCAAACACAGCCAGCGGAUUCCAAAACGGGGGAUCAUGAAGCCAAAGCAAGCAGCUCCAAUGACAGUAAGAGACAAUGACCUCCUCUUGCAGCUCCUGGAGGAGUUUCCCAGCCUGCACAUUUCUGCACGGACUCUGGGUAAAAUGUGGCAGCGGCAGCUUACUCACACUGCACACCUUAAGGCACCUGCUGGCAGA